CUAAUUUUGUUGAAAGAAAAUCAACUGCAGGAUAAUAAAAUCCUGUGUCAGGUUUAAGCAUCAAGUAUUCAUUUCCCAACUCUGUCUAAGAUUAGGUCUAGCCGAUGGAUGAAGUAAAAAGACAAUAUUAAGUGCAGCACCAAAGAGAAGUCCUAUUUCAAUAUUACAAAGUAUGCAAACCACAAAGGGAAUAAGUAACAGCACAAUAAACUUAAUAAUAGAUGAAGCGUUAUAAAGAUUAGGAAUUGCUCACUGGAUCCUUUCCAAAGAACUUUGA